UAUUAGCUCAGGUGGUUACAGCGCACCCCUGAUAAGGGUGACGUCCCUGGUUAGACUCCAGGAUGGCCCA
rnacentral:tRNA from 1 species